UACAUGUUUCUUAAUCGAUUUUAUCAAAUUUUUGAUUGGUUUGAUUUUCUGAUUUUUUUUUUUUCGGUUGCAACCGAUUUGAUCCAUCCCAGCCGGCCGAAUGCUCACCCCACCUCGAUUCCUCGAGUUCGUUCACUACUAUCGGCUGUCAUCGUCGAUAUUCCCACAGCAUUGUCUUCAAGUUCGUCGCAUCAACCCCCGCCAGCAGGUUCUUCGAUUCCUCCUUUCCUUCCGCCAUGGAACCAAAUCCUAAUCGCUUCCCCAUCCUCUCUUACGUCAUGUCCCACCUACACUCCGCCACCCCCAAGUCCCCGGAGCACGACAUAGAGUCCCCCGAUCCAUCGUCGUUCUCCCCAACUUCACCGCGCUACUUCGAGAUGGAGUUGGUUGAACGGAUGCCCCAUCUCCGGCAUCCCGACCUGCUUGAUUCCAUGGUCCGCGCCGUCUCGGACGUGGCCCAGACCCGCUCUAUUCUACAGGCCCUCGGCGAACGUCCAGACCACGAAACGCUGGACGCUGCGCGCUCACAGAUUGCGGACAUUGACGCUGCGCUCAUCCGCCAGCUUCAUGAGAUCGGGCUGGAGGGCGCGGAACUUGUGGAGAGGGAGAAGGAAUGUGCCGUCCUCAAGCUCGACGAGAUGCACGAGGCUUAUGAGAAGUUGCUGAAGGAGGCUGAGGAGAGGCUUGAGAAAAUAUACAAUUCGUCUUAUGGCAGCAGUGUUCCGGUGAGGCAGGGAGACGAGGAGGAGGUAGAGCAAUUGAACGAGAAGGUUGUUGCGAUCUUGCAGGAGGCGUCUGUUAAGUGCUUGGAGAGGGUUGAGCUUUCGGGACAACAGCUCAGGUUUCUUCCGGAGGCCUUUGGAAGGAUGAAAGGAUUGAUUUCCCUCAACGUCUCCAACAACCAGUUAGAGGUCAUACCAGAUGCAAUAGCAGGGUUGGAACAAUUACAGGAGCUUUAUCUUUCCUCUAAUCUUUUAGUUUCAUUGCCUGAUGCCAUUGGGCUGCUACUUAAUCUGAAGAUCCUAGAUGUGUCCAGUAACAAGCUGAGGGCUCUUCCUGACAGCAUCUCACAUUGCAGAUCUCUUGUUGAACUGAAUGCAAGCUACAAUGAACUCACAUAUUUGCCAACAAACAUUGGCUACGAACUAGUAAAUCUGCAGAAGCUAUGGAUUUAUCUUAACAAGAUCCGAUCUCUCCCAACGUCUAUUUGUGAGAUGAGGUCCUUGCGCAUUUUGGAUGCACACUUCAAUGAACUCCAUGGACUACCCUAUGCGAUAGGAAACUUGAUCAAUCUUGAAAUUCUCAACUUGAGCAGCAACUUCAGUGACCUGAAGGAGCUCCCUCCCACAUUUGGUGAUCUGAUUAAUCUCAUGGAACUUGACAUCAGCAACAAUCAAAUUCAUGCUCUGCCUGAUUCCUUUGGCCGCCUUGAUAAGCUGUCCAAACUUAACUUGGACCAGAACCCAUUGGUUAUUCCACCAAUGGAGAUCGUGAACCAAGGGUUGGAAGCUGUCAAGUUAUAUAUGUCUAAGAGAUGGCUUGAUAUACUAUUAGAGGAAGAGAGGAGGAGCCAGAUAGUGGAAAACCCUCAGGAAAAAGCUGGUUGGCUGACUCGUAGCACAUCUUGGCUAAGCAAUUAUGUCACUGGAGUUUCUGGGACCGUUGUGGAAUAUCUUGGAGCCAGAGAGACGUCUUACAGGGAUCCUUGCCUUGACCAACAGUUGUGAUUUAGUAACCUUAAAUAUAUGGUUUGGUAUUUGUCUGUUGCAAAGCCUGUACAGUUCAUCACCUCAUGCUUAUUUUCAGUUGAAGUAAGCAUUGCGAGGAGAUCAUAGGUCAAGAGAAGAUCAGUUGAAAUCACGACAGUGCAGGAUAAUGAAGAAAAACUGGAGGAAGAGCCGAAGACUCGGUAAUAUUUUUUUUCUUGUAAGUUGGAGAUGUAAAUCAGUUGACAUUAAUCUGACUGAGAAGGAAAUGAGUGCUUGUGAUCACCAUCAACAUCUAAGAUUUUGGUAA